rnacentral:rRNA from 1 species
GAAACGACUGCUAAGACUGGAUAGGAAGUUUUAAGGCAUCUUGAAACUUUUAAAAGACCCGCAAGGGUAUGCUGAGAGAUGGGCUUGCGGCACAUUAGUUAGUUGGUAAGGUAACGGCUUACCAAGACCAUGAUGUGUAGCUGGACUGAGAGGUUGAACGGCCACAUUGGGACUGAGAUACGGCCCAAACUCCUACGGGAGGCAGCAGUAAGGAAUUUUCGGCAAUGGAGGAAACUCUGACCGAGCAACGCCGCGUGAACGAUGAAGUAUUUAGGUAUGUAAAGUUCUUUUAUUAAAGAAGAAAAAAUGAUGGAAAAAUCAUUCUGACGGUAUUUAAUGAAUAAGCCCCGGCUAACUAUGUGCCAGCAGCUGCGGUAAUACAUGGGGGGCAAGCGUUAUCCGGAUUUAUUGGGCGUAAAGGGUGCGUAGGCGGUUUAAUAAGUCUAUGGUCUAAGUUCAACGCUUAACGUUGUGAUGCUAUAGAAACUGUUUGACUAGAGUUGGAUAGAGGCAAGUGGAAUUCCAUGUGUAGCGGUAAAAUGCGUAAAGAUAUGGAGGAACACCAGUAGCGAAGGCGGCUUGCUGGGUCUUAACUGACGCUGAGGCACGAAAGCGUGGGGAGCAAACAGGAUUAGAUACCCUGGUAGUCCACGCCGUAAACGAUGAGUACUAAGUGUUGGGUUAAACCAGUGCUGAAGUUAACGCAUUAAGUACUCCGCCUGAGUAGUACGUACGCAAGUAUGAAACUUAAAGGAAUUGACGGGACUCCGCACAAGCGGUGGAUCAUGUUGUUUAAUUCGAAGAUACACGAAAAACCUUACCAGGUCUUGACAUACUCUGCAAAGCUAUAGAAAUAUAGUGGAGGUUAUCAGGGAUACAGGUGGUGCAUGGUUGUCGUCAGCUCGUGUCGUGAGAUGUUGGGUUAAGUCCCGCAACGAGCGCAACCCUUAUCGCUAGUUACCAUCAUUUAGUUGGGCACUUUAGUGAGACUGCCAAUGAUAAAUUGGAGGAAGGUGGGGAUUACGUCAAAUCAUCAUGCCCCUUAUGACCUGGGCUACAAACGUGAUACAAUGGCUGUUACAAAGAGUAGCUGAAGCGUGAGUUUUUAGCAAAUCUCAAAAAAACAGUCUCAGUUCGGAUUGAAGUCUGCAACUCGACUUCAUGAAGUCGGAAUCGCUAGUAAUCGCGAAUCAGCAUGUCGUGGUGAAUACGUUCACGGGGUUUGUACACACCGCCCGUCA